AGAGUUUGAUCAUGGCUCAGGAUGAACGCUAGCUACAGGCUUAACACAUGCAAGUCGAGGGGCAGCAGGAUCUAGCAAUAGAUUGCUGGCGACCGGCGCACGGGUGAGUAACACGUAUCCAACCUGCCCACCACUUGGGGAUAACCUUGCGAAAGUAAGACUAAUACCCAAUGACGUCUCUAGAAGACAUCUGAAAGAGAUUAAAGAUUUAUCGGUGAUGGAUGGGGAUGCGUCUGAUUAGCUUGUUGGCGGGGUAACGGCCCACCAAGGCGACGAUCAGUAGGGGUUCUGAGAGGAAGGCCCCCCACAUUGGAACUGAGACACGGUCCAAACUCCUACGGGAGGCAGCA
rnacentral:rRNA from 1 species